rnacentral:rRNA from 1 species
UGGGGAAUUUUGGACAAUGGGCGCAAGCCUGAUCCAGCCAUGCCGCGUGAGUGAAGAAGGCCUUCGGGUUGUAAAGCUCUUUCGGCGGGGAAGAAAUCGCACGGGUUAAUACCCUGUGUGGAUGACGGUACCCGAAUAAGAAGCACCGGCUAACUACGUGCCAGCAGCCGCGGUAAUACGUAGGGUGCGAGCGUUAAUCGGAAUUACUGGGCGUAAAGCGUGCGCAGGCGGUUUUGUAAGUCAGAUGUGAAAUCCCCGGGCUCAACCUGGGAACUGCAUUUGAGACUGCAAGGCUAGAGUGUGGCAGAGGGGGGUGGAAUUCCACGUGUAGCAGUGAAAUGCGUAGAGAUGUGGAGGAACACCGAUGGCGAAGGCAGCCCCCUGGGCCAAUACUGACGCUCAUGCACGAAAGCGUGGGGAGCAAACAGG